rnacentral:rRNA from 1 species
GUGAAGUCAUUGAUGCCAUGCUUCCAGGAAAAGCCUCUAAGCUUCAGAUUUGAUGGAAUCGUACCCCAAACCGACACAGGUGGUCGGGUAGAGAAUACCAAGGCGCUUGAGAGAACUCGGGUGAAGGAACUAGGCAAAAUGGUACCGUAACUUCGGGAGAAGGUACGCUCUUGAUGGUGAAGUCCCUCGCGGAUGGAGCUGACGAGAGUCGCAGAUACCAGGUGGCUGCAACUGUUUAUUAAAAACACAGCACUGUGCAAAAUCGCAAGAUGACGUAUACGGUGUGACGCCUGCCCGGUGCCGGAAGGUUAAUUGAUGGGGUUAGCGUAAGCGAAGCUCUUGAUCGAAGCCCCGGUAAACGGCGGCCGUAACUAUAACGGUCCUAAGGUAGCGAAAUUCCUUGUCGGGUAAGUUCCGACCUGCACGAAUGGCGUAAUGAUGGCCACGCUGUCUCCACCCGAGACUCAGUGAAAUUGAAAUCGCUGUGAAGAUGCAGUGUACCCGCGGCUAGACGGAAAGACCCCGUGAACCUUUACUACAGCUUGGCACUGAACAUUGAACCUACAUGUGUAGGAUAGGUGGGAGGCUAUGAAGACGUGACGCCAGUUGCGUUGGAGCCGUCCUUGAAAUACCACCCUUGUAUGUUUGAUGUUCUAACUUAGACCCAUUAUCUGGGUUGAGGACAGUGCCUGGUGGGUAGUUUGACUGGGGCGGUCUCCUCCCAAAGAGUAACGGAGGAGCACGAAGGUGGGCUAAUCACGGUUGGACAUCGUGAGGUUAGUGCAAUGGCAUAAGCCCGCUUAACUGCGAGAAUGACGGUUCGAGCAGGUGCGAAAGCAGGUCAUAGUGAUCCGGUGGUUCUGUAUGGAAGGGCCAUCGCUCAACGGAUAAAAGGUACUCCGGGGAUAACAGGCUGAUACCGCCCAAGAGUUCAUAUCGACGGCGGUGUUUGGCACCUCGAUGUCGGCUCAUCACAUCCUGGGGCUGAAGUCGGUCCCAAGGGUAUGGCUGUUCGCCAUUUAAAGUGGUACGCGAGCUGGGUUUAGAACGUCGUGAGACAGUUCGGUCCCUAUCUGCCGUGGGCGUUGGAAGAUUGAAGGGGGCUGCUCCUAGUACGAGAGGACCGGAGUGGACGAACCUCUGGUGUUCGGGUUGUGUCGCCAGACGCAUUGCCCGGUAGCUAAGUUCGGAAUCGAUAACCGCUGAAAGCAUCUAAGCGGGAAGCGAGCCCUGAGAUGAGUCUUCCCUGACAGUUUAACUGUCCUAAAGGGUUGUUCGAGACUAGAACGUUGAUAGGCAGGGUGUGUAAGCGUUGUGAGGCGUUGAGCUAACCUGUACUAAUUGCCCGUGAGGCUUAACCAUACAACACCCAAGGGGUUUUGUA